rnacentral:rRNA from 1 species
AUUGAACGCUGGCGGCAUGCUUUACACAUGCAAGUCGAACGGCAGCGGGGGCUUCGGCCUGCCGGCGAGUGGCGAACGGGUGAGUAAUGCAUCGGAACGUGCCCAUGUCGUGGGGGAUAACGUAGCGAAAGCUACGCUAAUACCGCAUACGUCCUGAGGGAGAAAGCGGGGGAUCUUUGGACCUUGCGCGAUUGGAGCGGCCGAUGUCGGAUUAGCUAGUAGGUGAGGUAAAGGCUCACCUAGGCGACGAUCCGUAGCGGGUCUGAGAGGAUGAUCCGCCACACUGGGACUGAGACACGGCCCAGACUCCUACGGGAGGCAGCAGUGGGGAAUUUUGGACAAUGGGGGCAACCCUGAUCCAGCCAUGCCGCGUGAGUGAAGAAGGCCUUCGGGUUGUAAACCUCUGUCAUGGGGGAAGAAGCAAGUGACGGUACCCCAAGAGGAAGCCCCUGCUAACUACGUG